UCAAUCACUUCCUAAGAAUAUCCAGGAAACUGAGGCUUAACCCUUUGCAGAGGUUGGUUCCCCCCUUUAAGAAGAAGUUGCUCCGCCAACUGCUAUGCCGAUGAUGGUUCCCGUAGUCGAUGCGAGAGCCCAAAAUACCGAGGUGAGGGAGACAAAUAGCGCAAAGAAGCUGCCAAGUUCUGAGCCGGAGAACUCUCCUAAUAGCAGCCCUCAGAGCUCCCAAGUUAAUAUGGUGGAUGAGUUUCAAUUUGUCAAAACAAAAGGCAGAGGUCGAGCGAAGGAAGGAGUCGCGGUCGGAAGGCCUCAACGGUUAACUAAUAGAAGGUGACGAGAACAUCUACAACAAUUGGGAGGCGAUUUGGGAGAUUACUCGAUUGCUAAAUAUAGGAGAAACGGAACAUGAGUCUAUCUCCCAUACACUUGAGAUUGAUCGGGCCACAACAAGCAUAAGUGACUUCUUUCAUAAACUUGACUCAGACCAUAUCACAUGCAACUCGGACCCUGUCAGUUUUUCAGACGAUAGAAAGUGGCUAGAAGAUGUCAUCCUCAGGCCAGUAGAAACAAGUAAGCGCCGUUUUAAUAAUCCCAUACUUGUUUUUUUACUCUUUCAUUGCAGAUGAUCAAGCAUGGAUGACACAUGUGGAGAAAUCAUAGUAUGUGAGACACCCGCAUAGACCACCACCCCGACCUCCAGAUUCAUCACUCUCAGACCCUCCCAUCAUUUGAACAAGAUAGGUCGAGGUAAAGACUUUAAACAAACGCUUCUCGGGAGGCAACCCGAGCACUAGAUCACGAGGAGCACGUCUAGCGGACGACGAUGACAUCGAGGAGACAACAUCAUGUAUGGGUUUUGUAUUUUGGACUACGGGACUUAUAUUUCUAACUUUUGUAUUGUGUACUAUUUACUAUUCGGACAAGUGUUGUUUUUGCGACUAUGAUCGC